GACGAACGCUGGCGGCGUGCUUAACACAUGCAAGUCGAACGGAAAGGCCUUUUCGGAGGUACUCGAGUGGCGAACGGGUGAGUAACACGUGGGUGAUCUGCCCUGCACUCUGGGAUAAGCCUGGGAAACUGGGUCUAAUACCGGAUAGGACCGCACUUUAGUGUGUGUGGUGGAAAGUUUUUUCGGUGUAGGAUGAGCCCGCGGCCUAUCAGCUUGUUGGUGGGGUAAUGGCCUACCAAGGCGGCGACGGGUAGCCGGACUGAGAGGUUGGUCGGCCACAUUGGGACUGAGAGACGGCACAGACUCGCACGGGAGGCAGCAGUGGGGAAGAUUGCACAAGGGGCGCAAGCCGGAUGCAGCGACGCCGCGGGGGGGAUGACGGCCUUCGGGUUGUAAACUCCUUUCGCCAGGGACGAAGCGUUUUGUGACGGUACCUGGAGAAGAAGCACCGGCUAACUACGUG
rnacentral:rRNA from 1 species